UUUUCUUAUGUUUAUUUAUUGUUGACAAUUACCUUGUCUUCCUAAUAUAUAUAUUUUUCUAUUGGAACUUGCUCCUUGUAGAAGCAAUCAAAUGCUAACAUUGACAAUAGAAAUCAAUUGAAGACGAAGCAUAGGUGUGGGUCAAAAUCUCUCCCAGUUAGGGUACACGAGGCGACAAUUGCAAAUGGGGGCCAACUGCCAGAGUUGCCAUGUGUUUACAAAUCUACACACUUUAAUGAUGUCACAAAGCAGUGGAUUUCUCCAGAGUGCGAAAAGAAUUAUGAUAAUAUGAUAAAGAUCCAAGCUGAGCAUUGCUC